AUUAUGUACGCAGCAUUACUCGUCCGAGUUAUGCAGUGAAGAAAAUAUUCUUUCUUUCGAAAUUUCUUUGCAAAAUACGCUUUAAUCGACACAGAAGUGAAUAGAAAUUUGUAAAGCCUCCAUCGCACUCCUUCCUUAACUAUACUAAGAGCUCACGACAGUGAUGCCAACUUUGCUACAUUAUAGCUAGAUCAGGGGCCUAAUUGUCUAACGCAAACGAUUGAAUUUGACAGUUGAAAUCGUACGUUUUUACUUGUCAAACGGCUAUUUCGGAUUGUGUAAGCCAAUGGAAAGCCAUCGGUUGGGCAUAGUUAGUUCAUUACGAUUAGAUCGUUAUUUUUAUACGAAGAGUGAAUGAUUUGAUAUGAUUUGACAGUUAUUUGCGAUUGUCUUCGAAUUGUGUAAAGUUUUAUGUUGUCUUGAGUCACCUUUGAUCGUAAAACGGACAAAUUGUGGAUGUCCAAAAUUCCAAAAUAAUUAUUUAUAUUUUAUUAAAUAUCUAAAAUUAAUAUUUUUUUCCAUUCUAAAUCUCUCAAUUCAGUCUCCCCGACCACAGUUAGCAUUUUUAGGACGAAACUUGGCGAAGUGUUUAGUGCUUUGUUUGUAAACAAUGAACUCUCUUAGAAAAAGUAAUAAAUAAUAUAUUCUUUGCAGUGAACCUAUAAAGUCAAAACAAUGAAGUUAAUUCAGUGCUAUUAAUCGAUUUAUAUAGGAUGCUGAGACUUGGACUCUGAGAGAAAGUGAGAAAAAGAAGAUACACACUCUAGAAAUGUGUUGUAGAAGAACGCUUGCAUAUCCUGGACACAGUUUCGAAACAACAUCUCACUCCUCCAAGAACUGGGGAUCAAACAGCAUCUUUCUUCCAGCAUCUAAUGUCUUACACACACUUCUUUGGACGUACUAGACAAAGAGACGAUAAGUCCAUAUCCUUAGAGAGACAUAAACUCACUACCUACGAUAUUUAAUACCUUAUCAUGUUGUAGAUUUCUGCGACAUCUUGCAUGUUGUUGUAUCCAAUGUGUUUGGAUUUGUGUUCCUGGGCUUAUGUGUGUGGUUUAGUUAAGUUUACUUAAGUUUGCUGGCUAUUAAGCAAAAAGGAAUCGAAUUUCAUUUUUAAAAGUAUGAUUAUGCCAAACGAACUCUUUCGUCAUCGCUCAUAGGAGAUUUGGAAUAUGCCCUAUAACUGCAGACUCCAAUAUUGCAAAUAGCACCUGCAAUACAGUGGAAUAACAUAUUGGUGUGCUGAAGAAAAGAUGGCAAAGGCUUUUAGCUGAUAGGAUAUUGUAAUGAUGACCCUGUUCUGUUCAAAUCAUAAAUGUGUGUGUAUUAUCAAAAUAUUUGCAUAGAUUGUGAAAUGCUGAUGAUAUUUAAUUUGGUUGGAUUUUGAUAUUUGAAAAUAAAAGAAUACUUACUUUGC